AGUUGCAUGUCGUAGACCCGAAACCGGGUGACCUAUCCAUGGCCAGGAUGAAGCGGAAGUAAAAUUCCGUGGAGGUCCGAACCACGUUGGUGUUGAAAAACCAUGGGAUGAGCUGUGGAUAGCGGAGAAAUUCCAAUCGAACUCGGAGAUAGCUGGUUCUCCUCGAAAUAGCUUUAGGGCUAGCGUCGAUUAAUUGAGUAAUGGAGGUAGAGCACUGAAUGGGCUAGGGGCUGACAACAGUUACUGAACCCUAUCAAACUCCGAAUGCCAUAUACUUUUAUUUCGGCAGUCAGACUGCGAAUGAUAAGAUCCGUAGUCAAAAGGGAAACAGCCCAGACCAUCAGCUAAGGUCCCAAAGUGUAAGUUAAGUGGAAAAGGAUGUGGGAUUUCUAAGACAACUAGGAUGUUGGCUCAGAAGCAGCCACUCAUUUAAAGAGUGCGUAAUAGCUCACUAGUCAAGAGAUCCUGCGCCGAAGAUGUCCGGGGCUAAAACUUACCACCGAAGCUAUGGGUGUACACAAUUGUGUACGCGGUAGAGGAGCUUUCUGUACUGGCUGAAGUCAUACCGUAAGGAGUGGUGGACGGUACAGAAGUGAGAAUGUUGGCAUGAGUAGCGAGAGUUAAGUGAGAAUCUUAACGGUCGAAAACCUAAGGUUUCCUGAGGAAGGCUCGUCCUCUCAGGGUUAGUCGGGACCUAAGCCGAGGCCGAAAGGCGUAGGUGAUGGACAAUCGGUUGAUAUUCCGAUACCACCAAUGGACGUUAUUAGAAAUGGGAUGACGCAGGAGGAUAAGAUGUGCACACUAUUGGAUGUGUGUCUAAGCAUUUAGGCGGAGCARRCAGGCAAAUCCGUUUGCUCUUAACGCUGAGAUGUGAUGGGGAAGGGAAUUUAUUCCYGAAGUAUCUGAUUCCACGCUGCCAAGAAAAGUCUCUAUCGAGGAUAUUGGUGCCCGUACCGCAAACCGACACAGGUAGGUGAGGAGAGAAUCCUAAGACCAUCGGAAGAAUUGUUGUUAAGGAACUCGGCAAAUUGACCCCGUAACUUCGGGAGAAGGGGUGCCUACGUAAGUAGGUCGCAGAGAAUAGGCCCAAGCAACUGUUUAGCAAAAACACAGGUCUCUGCUAAAGCGAAAGCUGAUGUAUAGGGGCUGACGCCUGCCCGGUGCUGGAAGGUUAAGGGGAUUACUUAGCGCAAGCGAAGGUAUGAACUUAAGCCCCAGUAAACGGCGGCCGUAACUAUAACGGUCCUAAGGUAGCGAAAUUCCUUGUCGGGUAAGUUCCGACCCGCACGAAUGGCGUAAUGAUUUGGGCACUGUCUCAACAACACAUCCGGCGAAAUUGUAGUGCAAGUGAAGAUGCUUGCUACCCGCGAUUGGACGGAAAGACCCCGUAGAGCUUUACUGUAGCUUAGCAUUGAAUUUCGGUAUUGUCUGUACAGGAUAGGUGGGAGACUGAGAAACAUGGGCGUCAGCCUGUGUGGAGUCAUCCUUGGGAUACCACCCUGACAGUACUGAGGUUCUAACUGGAGGCCAUGAAUCUGGUCACAGGACAUUGUUAGGUGGGCAGUUUGACUGGGGCGGUCGCCUCCAAAAAAGUAACGGAGGCGCCCAAAGGUUCCCUCAGCGCGGUUGGAAAUCGCGCGAAGAGUGCAAAGGCAGAAGGGAGCCUGACUGCGACACUUACAAGUGGAGCAGGGACGAAAGUCGGGCUUAGUGAUCCGGUGGUACCUCGUGGGAGGGCCAUCGCUCAACGGAUAAAAGCUACCUCGGGGAUAACAGGCUGAUCUCCCCCAAGAGUCCACAUCGACGGGGAGGUUUGGCACCUCGAUGUCGGCUCGUCGCAUCCUGGGGCUGAAGUAGGUCCCAAGGGUUGGGCUGUUCGCCCAUUAAAGCGGCACGCGAGCUGGGUUCAGAACGUCGUGAGACAGUUCGGUCCCUAUCCGUCGCGGGCGUAGGAAAUUUGAAGGGAGCUGUCCUUAGUACGAGAGGACCGGGAUGGACAAACCUCUGGUGCACCAGUUGUCACGCCAGUGGCAUCGCUGGGUAGCUAUGUUUGGAAGGGAUAAACGCUGAAAGCAUCUAAGCGUGAAGCCCACCCUGAGAUGAGAUUUCCCAUAAC
rnacentral:rRNA from 1 species